UACGUAGGGUGCAAGCAUUAUCCGGAGUGACUGGGCGUAAAGAGUUGCGUAGGUGGUUUGUUAAGUGAAUAGUGAAAUCUGGCGGCUCAACCGUACAGGCUAUUAUUCAAACUGGCAAACUCGAGAAUGGUAGAGGUAACUGGAAUUUCUUGUGUAGGAGUGAAAUCCGUAGAUAUAAGAAGGAACACCAAUGGCGUAGGCAGGUUACUGGACCAUUUCUGACACUGAGGCACGAAAGCGUGGGGAGCGA
rnacentral:rRNA from 1 species